rnacentral:lncRNA from 1 species
GCUGAAGUUGACGACCUUGCGGGCGGGUGCGCAGGCGCCCUGCAGCUGCUGGUUGCAGCCGCCGGCGUUGGUCAUGAUGGCUUUCAUGGAGGUGAGCAGGCGGCCGUAGGUGACCCCCUGGGGCUCGCAUUCCACCGCCUUGAUGAAGCUGUGGGUCAUGGCCCCCACCGCCGCGCAGGCCUCCGGCGUCUGCAACAGAACAUGGCGCGCGUCGCGUGUCGAACCAAUCGCAAAGAGAUUAGAUCGAGCGAGCGUUACGUUCAUGGCGACCAUAGUAGGAGUAUAGGAUGGGUGUGCAGUGCAGUGCACUGACCAUGCUGAACUUGCUUUUGCCGUCGCUGUAGCCGCUGAUAAGCACCGCCUGGCCGCCGCUCGUGCCCUUGCAGACGCCCGACGGUGGACGGUGAUCCUCCCACUGCCAGUUCCCGGUCCUAGACAGACAGAGAGAGGAAUGGAGAUAUGUUUUAGAUGUACGGCCGGGCACGGGGAUUUCCAGCACCGGACGACGAGCUUUCAAAUAUAAUUACCUGGACAUGUUGCAGAGGAAGGGGAGGUCGAGGACGGAAUCGCUGUGGCACGCGUCGACGACGGCGUGGAGCUUGGCGCCGGGCACCAGCGGCCGGACGAUGGUCUCGUUGAUCUCGUCGUCCAGGAUGGGGCCCUUCUGGAACGAGUCCACCGGGCAGAUGGCCUCGUCGUACCCGUCCUGCUCGUCGCAGUCCGCGUCGGCGACCUGCGCGCCCAGCCCAGAGAAGUGGAACACCAGGGAGUCGCCGCUGCUGCACCCCUGCACCAGCCACUGCAUCGCCAUCCGGAUGUUGUCCUUGGUGGGCACCCGGAACGGGUCCUUCUGGUCGUCUGCGUGCACCGGUCCGGUCCGGUCCAUUCAGUUCCUUGCGACAAACAGAGAUGCGUACGUGGACGGUUCCAUUGCAUACCAGUGAGCAUGAUGAUGCCGUCGCUGGGGAAGGCGAAGCGCUGGCAGAGGAGCUGCCUCAUGCACUUGACGUCGUUGAUGGGGCCCCGCAGCUCGCCGCAGCCCCGGCGCGCGCCGCCGUACGUGAUGCCGAUCAGGACGGCGCGCUUCUUGCCGCGGCCGCCGCACGGCGGGAAGCCCGCGACGGAAGCCGGCCUCGUCAGCGCCGGCAGCGGGAGCCGCGAGGACAGCGACCGCCGGAUGCGAGUCACGCCGCAGCAUUGCGCGCACUGGAUGGCGCGCUCGCCGGCGCACACGGUCAGGCUCGCGCUGCAGUACUUGCACCGGAUCGUCGUCGCCGCCGGGGACCUUCCACCCAUGUUCAUGGCGAAGCUAGCCGGCCGGGCGCUCGGAGCUUUGCUUGCGCUGCUUGCUACGCGUUGCUGGCUAGCUAGCUCCUCGGUUAGCCUGCCCUCACACUCCUGCCUUACCUUCCCUUUAUAUAGCAACGGAAACUACUGUUACCAGAUGCUGGCGCCAAAGGUUUGUUCUUUUUUUUUCAAAGAUGCAGACAUGGUGGCCUUUGUAUAUCAAUCAUUCAUAUGAUUAUUAGGCGGAGUGGGAGGUAAUAAUCUCCGGAUGGGAGAACCAUUUGAGUGGAACUGAGCAUAUUUUGUCCCCCACGGAUCCUUUAAUUGCUAUUCUCGGCUUUGCUGUUGUUUUUCUCGAAUCUCGAAUAAUGUAUUUUCUCUAAUCUAUGAAGAAGAGAGAAAAAACUGUGUCCGCCGAGUUUGUUUGAGGUGCCAUUUGAUUCACGAAAUAUAACGUAAAUAUUAAUGAUAAUGAUUCACAUUUGAAUACCGACGGUAAUAAGUUUGAAUAAGUCGGUAUUCAUUUUUAGUGUGAUAUUCGAUUACAGUUGGACUUAAACAAAUAUAAUUUGUGUUAUUGGUUAUGUUACCAAUAUGUGAACCAAACGGCACCUGAGAUACUUUGGCGUAAUAUGUAAUUGUCACAGCCACCGAAAACAUAAAAUUUGAGUGAUAUGCUUUCACUCGAAAAUAUAGCUCUAGGGUCCAGCAACAUGCAUAAUUGCAUAUUCCUUUCUCUUAAAAAAAAUAUAUCGUCAUCCAUAUCUUGUAAAAAAGACUAUAAAAUGUCGUCAAAAGAUUCUACUAAACACUACGCGACUUGAUUCUUGACAAAAUAUUUUAUAAUAUUUUGGAGCCCAAAAGAAUCCCACCGCGUAUACAUUACAAUCAGAAAAAGGUGCAGAAACACUGAAAAACAUUGAACAAGGUUAUUAUUUAGUUGUUGUUUAGAGCUUGUUUGGUUGUGUCUAGAUCGAAUAGGAUGGAGAAGAAUUAAAUCUCUCCCUAAUCAAAAUUAAAUAAAAAGUGAUUUAAUCUCGCUCAACUCCUUCGAUCCGGUUUCAACCGAACAAGCCUAGUGGGAAAUGAAAUUUGAGCAUUUGCCCAACACACAUGCUAAAGGGGUGUUUGGUUACUUUAACAAAAACUUAGUUUGUGUCACAUCUCAACUACUAAGGGCAUGUACAACUAUGAGACUCCGUUUUGGUUUUCUAAGUAAAAGAGACAGCUAAGAGAUUGCAUGAUACAACCUUGAGACCCUGAAUCAUAACUACAGCUAAAAGACAACAUACAUGGAGAGUCAUGAAGAGACGAUUCUUCACGAAGAGCCUGUCUCUAAAAGGGAAAUAUGCCCUUAGGCCAUUUCUAAGUAUUUUGGUGAUUUAGUGUCCAACACAAGUGCUUAAGUGAUAAACUAUGUCAAAUGAUGGAUAAGGUGCAAAUCAAUACAAAGGUAUGAUUCUAGACUUAGUAUAUUGGUUUGUGUGUACUAACAUGUUUGUCUAAGUGUUAGAAUCAGAGAAAAAGCAAUUGAAAAAGAGUGGCUCAAAGCAGUCAAGAGACUGCUCAGUCUGGGUGCACCGGACAGUGUCCGAUGCGCCAGGCUGGCAUCCGUCAACUAGCUGCUCUCGGGACUUCGUCGGCGGCGUACAGCUAAAAUUCACCGGACUGUCCGGUGGUGCACCGGACUGUCCGGUGGUGCACCGGACUGUCCGGUGAACCAACAGUCAGCCGGGCCAACGGUCGGCCGCGGAAUCCGCGCGCGACGCGUGGCAAGCGCCAACGGUCAGAUGGGGCACCAGACUGUCCAGUGUGCACCGGAUAGUGUCUGGUGCGCCAACGGCUCGAAGACUGCAACGGUCGGCUUCGCCAAAUAAGGAAAGAGAUCCGCACCGGACAGUGUCCGGUGGUGCACCGGACUGUCCGGUGCGCCAGGCGACAGAAGGCAAGAAUUGCCUUCCUGGAAUGCACUCAACGGCUCCUAGCUGCCUUGGGGCUAUAAAAGGGAUCCCUAGGCGCAUGGAGGAGUACACCAAGCAUUCUCUAAGCAUUCCUAAGCACCAAGACUUUGAUUCCGCAUAUUUGAUUCUGUGUGAUAGCAAUUAGAGCUCUAUUUGAGUUGUGAACUCGCCGGGUUGUGUUGUGAGCUCUUGUUGCGACUUGUGUGCGUGCUGGUACUCUGAUUUCGUGUCUUGUGUGUGUUGCUCAUCCCUCCCUUACUCUGUGCUUCUUUGUGAUCAUCAAAGUGUAAGGGCGAGAGGCUCCAAGUUGUGGAGAUUCCUCGCAAGCGGGAUAUAGAAAAGCAAAGCAAAACACCGUGGUAUUCAAGUGGGUCUUUGGACCGCUUGAGAGGGGUUGAUUGCAACCCUCGUCCGUUGGGACGCCACAACGUGGAGUAGGCAAGCGUUGGACUUGGCCGAACUACGGGAUAAACCACUAUGUCAUCUCUGUGUUGAUCUCUUUGUGGUUAUCGUGUUGUGCAAGUUCUCCUCUCUAGCCACUUGGCUUAAUUGUGCUAACUCCUAAUCAAGUUUUGUGGAUUAAGUUUCAAGGUUUGGCAGGAUCACCUAUUCACCCCCCCUCUAGGUGCUCUCAAUUGGUAUCAGAGUCGUUCUCUUCAAGAAAGGGACUAAUCGCCCGAAGAGAUGGAUCCUAAGGGAAAGGGGAUUGUGAUCAAUGAUAAGGAGAAGGAGUCCUUCGUCAACGAGCCGAAAGAUGACAAGCCUACCGACUCGGGCUCGGGCCACAAACGAAAAGAUGGAAAGAAGAAGAAGACGAGGCGUAUCAAGGAGAUCGUCUACUACGACGACAGCGACGAGUCCUCUUCUUCCCAAAAGGACGACGACAACAACUACGAGAAAAAGAAGACGGUUAAUUCAAACUUCUCUUUUGAUUAUUCUCGUAUUCCUCAAAGUACCAAUGCUCAUUUACUCUCCAUUCCACUUGGUAAACCUCCUCAUUUUGAUGGAGAGGACUACGGAUUUUGGAGUCACAAAAUGCGUAGUCACUUGUUCUCUCUCCAUCCUAGUAUAUGGGAGAUAGUAGAGAGUGGAAUGAAAUUUGAUAGCUCGGAUAGUCCGUUGUUUAUCAAUGAACAGAUUCAUAAAAAUGCACAAGCUACUACUGUGUUGUUAGCCUCAUUGUGCAGGGACGAGUACCAUAAGGUGAAUGGCUUGGACAAUGCCAAGCAGAUCUGGGACACCCUCAAGAUCUCACAUGAGGGGAACGACGUCACCAUGCUCACCAAGAUGGAGUUGGUGGAAGGCGAACUCGGGAGAUUCACGAUGAUAAGAGGGGAGGAGCCAACCCAGACGUAUAACAGGCUCAAGACCCUCAUUAACAAGAUAAGGAGCUAUGGAAGCACGUGAUGGAUGGACCACGACGUCGUCCGCCUAAUGCUAAGGUUCUUUACCGUCCUUGAUCCACAUCUUGUGAACAAUAUUCAUGAGAAUCCUAGGUACACGAAGAUGACGCCCGAGGAGAUCCUUGGAAAGUUCGUAAGCGGGCGGAUGAUGAUCAAGGAGGCUAGAUACGUCGACGAUGCAUUAAAUGGCCCAAUCCAAGAGCCUCAAACUAUUGCUCUCAAGGCAACAAGGAGCAAGGAGGUGCUACCUAGCAAGGUGGCGCAAGUUGAGGCGGUCGGGCUUAAUGAUGAAGAGAUGGCCCUCAUCAUCAAGCAGUUCAAGACAGCACUAAAGGGUCGCAAGGAGCACCCCAACAAGAACAAGACGAAGGGGAAGCGCUCUUGCUUCAAAUGCGGUAAGAUUGGUCAUUUUAUCGCUAAUUGUCCCGAUAAUGAUAGUGACCAGGAAAAGAAGAGUGGAAAGUGGGAAAAGAAGAAGAACUACAAGAAGGCGAAGGGCGAGGCACAUCUUGGAAAGGAGUGGGAUUCGGAUUGCUCCUCGUCCGACUCCGACAAUGAAGGACUCGCCGCCACCACCUUCAACAAGUCAUCCCUCUUCCCCAACGAGCAUCACACUUGCCUCAUGGCAAGGGAAAAGAAGGUAAGCACUCGUAAUACUAGUACUUAUGCUUCUUCAAGUGAGGAUGAGUCUAGUGAUGAUGAUGAAAUAGACUAUUCAUGCUUAUUCAAGGGCUUAGAUAGAACUAAGAUUGAUAAGAUUAAUGAAUUGAUUGAUGCUUUGAAUGAUAAAAAUAGAUUAUUAGAAAAACAAGAGGACCUUUUAUAUGAAGAGCAUGAUAAAUUUGUUAGUGCACAAAAUUCUCUUGCUCUAGAAGUUAAAAGGAAUGAAAUGCUCUCUUGUGAACUAUCUACUUGUCAUGAAACCAUUUCUACUUUAAAGAGUGUGAAUGAUGAUUUAAAUGCUAAACUAGAAGUAGCAAGUAAAUCUAACUCUUGUAUAGAACAUGUUAUGAUUUGCAAUAGGUGCAAGGAUUUUAAUGUUGACGCUUGUAGUGAACACCUAGUUUGCAUUUCUAAAUUAAAUGAUGAAGUGGCUAGUCUUAAUGUCCAACUUAAGACUAGCAAGAGUGAAUUUGACAAGCUAAAAUUUGCAAGGGAUGCCUACACGAUUGGUAGACAUCCCUCAAUUAAGGAUGGUCUUGGCUUCAAGAGGGAAGUCAAAAACUUAACAAGCCAUAAGGCUUCCAUCUCCACCAAGGAGAAAGGGAAGGCCCCUAUGGCUAGUAGUGCUCAAAAGAACCAUGCCUUUAUGUAUCAUGAUAGGAGACAUUCUAGAAAUGUGUAUAGAAGUUAUGAUGCUUUUGAUUCUCAUGCUAUGGUUGCUUCUAGUUCUUCUAUUAUGCAUGAUAGAAAUUUAGCUAGGAGAAAUGCUAUUAAUCACAUGCCUAGAAGAAAUGUUGUUCAUAUGCCUAGGAAAACAAAUAGUGAACCUUCUACAAUUUCUCAUGCUUUAAAUGCUUCCUUUGCUAUUUGUAGAAAGGAUAAGAAGAUAAUUGCUAGGAAAUUAGGGGCCAAAUAUAAGGGAGACAAGACUUGCAUUUGGGUCCCUAAGACUAUUGUGACUAACCUUGUAGGACCCAACAUGAGUUGGGUACCUAAGACCCAAGCCUAAAUUUGCCUUGCAGGUUUAUGCAUCCGGGGGAUCAAGCUGGAUUAUCGACAGCGGAUGCACAAACCACAUGACGAAGGAGAAGAAGAUGUUUACCUCCUACGUCAAGAACAAGGAUUCCCAAGAUUCAAUAAUAUUCGGUGAUGGGAAUCAAGGCAAGGUGAAAGGGUUAGGGAAAAUUGCUAUUUCAUCCGAGCACUCUAUUUCUAAUGUGUUUUUAGUUGAGUCGCUUGGAUAUAAUCUGUUAUCUGUUAGUCAAUUAUGCAAUAUGGGAUAUAACUGUUUAUUCACAAAUGUAGAUGUGUCUGUCUUUAGAAGAAGUGAUGGUUCAUUAGCUUUUAAGGGUGUACUAGACGGCAAACUUUAUUUAGUUGAUUUUGCAAAAGAGGAGGUCGGUCUAGAUGCAUGCUUAAUUGCUAAGACUAGCAUGGGCUGGCUGUGGCAUCGCCGCUUAGCACAUGUGGGGAUGAAGAACCUUCACAAGCUUCUAAAGGGAGAACACGUAAUAGGUCUAACAAAUGUUACUUUCGAAAAAGAUAGACCUUGUGCAGCUUGUCAAGCAGGGAAACAGGUGGGAAGCACUCAUCAUGCCAAAAAUGUGAUGACAACAUCAAGACCCCUGGAGUUACUUCAUAUGGACCUCUUCGGACCCGUCGCCUAUCUAAGCAUAGGAGGAAGAUAAAUCUGAAACCCAAGGGACCCUCAAGCGCUUCCUAAGGAGAGCUCAAAACGAGUUUGAGCUCAAGGUGAAGAAGAUAAGGAGCGACAAUGGGUCCGAAUUCAAGAACCUUCAAGUGGAGGAAUACCUUGAGGAGGAAGGAAUCAAGCACGAGUUCUCCGCUCCCUACACACCAUAGAAAAAUGGUGUGGUAGAGAGGAAGAACAGGACGCUUAUAGACAUGGCGAGGACGAUGCUUGGAGAGUUCAAGACCCCCGAGCGCUUUUGGUCGGAAGCCGUGAACACGGCUUGCCACGCCAUCAACCGGGUCUACCUUCAUCGCCUCCUCAAGAAGACUUCGUAUGAGCUACUAACCGGUAACAAACCCAAUGUUUCGUAUUUCCGAGUUUUUGGGAGUAAAUGCUACAUUCUAGUGAAGAAGGGUAGGAAUUCCAAAAUUGCUCCCAAAGCUGUAGAAUGGUUUUUGUUAGGUUAUGACUCAAAUACAAAGGCGUAUAGGGUCUUCAACAAAUCAUCGGGUUUGGUUGAAGUCUCUAGCGACGUUGUAUUUGAUGAGACUAAUGGCUCUCCAAGAGAGCAAGUUGUUGAUCUUGAUGAUGUAGAUGAAGAAGACAUUCCAACGGCCGCAAUGCGCACCAUGGCGAUUGGAGAUGUAAGGCCACUGGAACCAAAGGAGCAAGAUCAACCUUCUUCCUCAACAAUGGUGCAUCCCCCAACUCAAGAAGAUGAACAAGUUCAUUAAUAGGAGGCGUGUGAUCAAGGGGGAGCACAAGAUGAUCAUUUAAUGGAGGAAGAAGCACAACCGGCACCUCCAACCCAAGUUCGAGCGAUGAUUCAAAGGGAUCAUCCCGUCGACCAGAUUUUGGGUGAUAUUAGCAAGGGAGUAACUACUCGGUCUCGAUUAGUUAAUUUUUGUGAGCAUUACUCCUUUGUCUCUUCUAUUGAGCCUUUCAGGGUAGAGGAGGCCUUGCUAGAUUCGGACUGGGUGUUGGCCAUGCAAGAGGAGCUCAAUAAUUUCAAGAGAAAUGAAGUUUGGACACUGGCGCCUCGUCCCAAGCAAAAUGUUGUGGGAACAAGGUGGGUGUUCCGCAACAAACAAGACGAGCACGGGGUGGUGACAAGGAACAAGGCUCGACUUGUGGCAAAAGGUUAUGCCCAAGUCGCAGGUUUGGACUUUGAGGAGACUUUUGCUCCUGUGGCUAGGCUAGAAUCUAUUCGUAUUUUGCUAGCAUAUGCCGCUCACCAUUCUUUCAGGUUGUUCCAAAUGGAUGUAAAGAGCGCUUUCCUCAACGGGCCAAUCAAGGAGGAGGUGUAUGUGGAGCAACCCCCUGGCUUCGAGGAUGAACGGUACCCCGACCACGUGUGUAAGCUCUCUAAGGCGCUCUAUGGACUUAAGCAAGCCCCAAGAGCAUGGUAUGAAUGCCUUAGAGACUUUUUAAUUGCUAAUGCUUUUGAGGUUGGGAAAGCCGAUCCAACUUUUUUCACUAAGACAUGUGAUGGUGAUCUUUUCGUGUGCCAAAUAUAUGUCGAUGACAUAAUAUUUGGUUCUACUAACCAAAAGUCUUGUGAAGAGUUUAGCAGGGUGAUGACUCAAAAGUUUGAGAUGUCGAUGAUGGGCGAGUUAAGCUAUUUCCUUGGGUUCCAAGUAAAGCAACUCAAGGAUGGGACCUUCAUCUCCCAAACGAAGUACACGCAAGACUUGAUCAAGCGGUUUGGGAUGAAGGACGCCAAGCCCACAAAGACUCCAAUGGGAACCGACGGACACACCGACCUCAACAAAGGAGGUAAGUCCGUGGAUCAAAAGGCAUACCGGUCAAUGAUAGGGUCUUUACUUUAUUUAUGUGCUAGUAGACCGGAUAUCAUGCUUAGUGUAUGCAUGUGUGCUAGAUUUCAAUCUGAUCUAAGGGAGUGUCACUUAGUGGCCGUGAAGCGAAUACUUAGAUAUUUAGUCGCUAUACCUUGCUUCGGGAUCUGGUAUCCAAAGGGGUCUACCUUUGACCUAAUUGUAUAUUCAGAUUCCGAUUAUGCUGGAUGUAAGGUCGAUAGGAAGAGUACAUCGGGGACGUGCCAAUUCUUAGGAAGGUCCCUGGUGUCGUGGAGCUCUAAGAAACAAACCUCCGUUGCCCUACCCACCGCUGAGGCCGAGUAUGUUGCCGCAGGACAGUGUUGCGCUCAACUACUUUGGAUGAGGCAAACCCUCAGGGACUUUGGCUACAAUCUGAGCAAAGUCCCACUCCUAUGUGAUAAUGAGAGUGCUAUCCGCAUGGCGGAGAAUCCUGUUGAACACAGCCGCACAAAGCACAUUGACAUCCGGCAUCACUUUUUGAGAGACCACCAACAAAAGGGAGAUAUCGAAGUGCUUCAUGUUAGCACCGAGAACCAGCUAGCCGAUAUCUUUACCAAGCCUCUAGAUGAGUCAACCUUUUGCAAGCUGCGUAGUGAGCUAAAUGUCUUAGAUUCGCGGAACCUAGAUUAAUUUAUAGCAUACAUGUGUUUUCUGCCUUUGAUCAUGUUCCAUAUGCAGUUUGUUGUUUAUUUUUGGUGUUCAAGUUGUACAAGCACUCCCCGGACCUCACAAGUCCAUUUGCGCGUGAUGCACAAAUUUAGGGGGAGAUGUGCUACAACUUGACCCUUUGAGACUAACCUUGUGCUUGAGUUUGCUUAAUUUAGUCUCAAAGGAGGUUUGAAAGGGAAAAGGUGGACUUGGACCAUGCAAGACUUCCACUGCACUCCGAUGAAAGAGUAACUUUUCCAAGUUCAUCUUUGUAUUCUUAUUGCCUUUGUACUCUUAUUUGAAGAUUUUGGUGAGGCAAUGAGGUUUAAGGGCCAAGAUUGAUCCCGUUUUGGUGCUUGAUGCCAAAGGGGGAGAAAAUAAGGCCAAAGCAAGAAAUGGAUCAGCUACCACUUGAGAAUUUUGAAAAUAGUAGAGUUAGAGUUUUUGUUUGCCAAAACACUCUUGUUUGUCUCUUGUUGUCCAAAGUUGGUCUCUUAUGGGGAGAAGGCUUAAUUAUGGGAAAAGGGGGAGUUUUUGAACUAUUUGAUAAAUUUCUCUUGAAAUACCUCUCUUUAUGUUUCAACAAGUGUGUUUGACUUAGAGAUAGGAAAUUGAGUUUGAUUUGCAAAAACAAACCAAGUGGUGGCAAAGAAUGAUCCAUAUAUGUCAAAUUUGAAUCAAAACAAUUUUGAGUUCUUAUUUCAAUUGAUUUUGCACUUGUUCUAGUUGCUUUAUGUUGUGUUGGCAUAAAUCACCAAAAAGGGGGAUAUUGAAAGGGAAAUGUGCCCUUGGGCCAUUUCUAAGUAUUUUGGUGAUUUAGUGUCCAACACAAGUGCUUAAGUGAUAAACUAUGUCAAAUGAUGGAUAAGGUGCAAAUCAAUACAAAGGUAUGAUUCUAGACUUAGCACAUUGGUUUGUGUGUACUAACAUGUUUGUCUAAGUGUUAGAAUCAGAGAAAAAGCAAUUGAAAAAGAGUGGCACAAAGCAGUCAAGAGACUGCUCAGUUUGGGUGCACCGGACAGUGUCCGGUGUGCCAGGCUGGCAUCCGUCAACUAGCUUCUCUCGGGACUUCGUCGGCGGCGUAUGGCUAAAAUUCACCGGACUGUCCGGUGGUGCACCGGACUGUCCGGUGAACCAACAGUCAGCCGGGCCAACGGUCGGCCGCGGAAUCCGCGCGCGACGCGUGGCAAGCGCCAACGGUCAGAUGGGGCACCGGACUGUCCGGUGUGCACCGGACAGUGUCCGGUGCGCCAACGGCUCGAAGACUGCAACGGUCGGCUUCGCCAAAUAAGGAAAGAGAUCCGCAUCGGACAGUGUUCGAUGGUGCACCGGACUGUCCGGUGCGCCAGGCGACAGAAGGCAAGAAUUGCCUUCCUGGAAUGCACUCAACGGCUCCUAGCUGCCUUGGGGCUAUAAAAGGGACCCCUAGGCGCAUGGAGGAGUACACCAAGCAUUCUCUAAGCAUUCCUAAGCACCAAGACUUUGAUUCCGCGCAUUUGAUUCUUUGUGAUAGCAAUUUGAGCUCUAUUUGAGUUGUGAACUCGCCGGGUUGUGUUGUGAGCUCUUGUUGCGACUUGUGUGCGUGCUGGUACUCUGAUUUCGUGUCUUGUGUGUGUUGCUCAUCCCUCCCUUACUCCGUGCUUCUUUGUGAUCAUCAAAGUGUAAGGGCGAGAGGCUCCAAGUUGUGGAGAUUCCUCGCAAGCGGGAUAUAUAAAAGCAAAGCAAAACACCAUGGUAUUCAAGUGGGUCUUUGGACCGCUUGAGAGGGGUUGAUUGCAACCCUCGUCCGUUGGGACGCCACAACGUGGAGUAGGCAAGCGUUGGACUUGGCUGAACCACGGGAUAAACCAUUGUGUCAUCUCUGUGUUGAUCUCUUUGUGGUUAUCGUGUUGUGCAAGUUCUCCUCUCUAGCCACUUGGCUUAAUUGUGCUAACUCCUAAUCAAGUUUUGUGGAUUAAGUUUCAAGGUUUGGCAGGAUCACCUAUUCACCCCCCCUCUAGGUGCUCUUAGUCUCUUAUAUUUUUUUCACUUAGCUCCUUAGAGACUCCUCAAGAGACCCUAUAUUAAAUGGGUUGUACAUACCCUUAAGACUCUAUUGUAGGCGCCCACGAUACCGUGCCCCUGCUCUCGUCCUCCCGUGAUGCCACCCUCCCCUGUACCUAGCGCAACUGCCUUUCCUCUCUCAGACGAGCAAAACCCUAGGGGCUUCCUAGUGCCGCCACCGUGAUGUACGACAGGCUCUACGAUGAGUUCGACAACAAGCGCUCAGAACUCAUCGACUACGACGUUGUCGGCUCCUUGACGUCAUCCACCAACACCAACGUCGUCGGCUCCUUGACGUCCUCCACUGCAUCCCGCUCGUUGUCCCCCAAAGCGCGUUGUAAUUCUCCCCGUAUGGAGUAAAGCAGACUUGACGUUGGUCCUGAAGCCAUUCCGUUGUCAGCAGCCUUCGUGGAGGAGUUGGUGGCGUCCUUUCGUCGAUGUUAUCUGGGCCGAGGCCAGGUUCGGGCAAGACAGAGGUUCCUCCUGAGGCCUUGGUCGAGCCUACCUUGGGUCAUGCAGUCAUGCAGAGAGAGGUUAAUAUAGUCGUUGGAGUGGCCUCCUACGGGAUUCGCGGGGAGUUGUUGCCAGGGCAGUUGGCCGAUGCCAAGCUCGGGCGAGGUGGAGUCUUCUCUCGAGGUUGAGGUCGUGGGCGAGGCGGAGUUCUCUCUCGAGGGUGAGGCGAUGCCCAGACGUACGCACGUCCCAUCUGGAGUUGUUUGAAUACAAUAGCCGAUGUGGGGGAGCAGUGGCCGUUAUUCCCGGACGUGCAUCAUCAUAGUUAGUGAAAGUGGAUGGGACCGUGAUCCCAUCACUCCCUGUUUAUCUGCAGCGUCAUGUGGGGUAGGUAUCGGAAUUGUCGCAUUAAAUGUGCAUGUCUCCACGGUUCCCGUGACCUUUGACCAAGGCUGGGCUCAGGGCUGUCCUCUUGUCCGAGACGAGCUCGGACGAGGCGAAAACCGUCAUUCCAUGAAGAGGGGCCCUCGGGCGAGAUGAGGAUUUUUCCCGAGCGCUCGCCCGAGGACAGGCUCGGGCGAGGCAGAGCUUUGAGCGACCGUCGAGCGAGGCCUCAGGCAAAUCGUGAUUCAUCCUUGCUUGACCGCGGGGAACGUGUCUUAUGAUUUUUCGGUAGUUAGGUGUUAAGCAUGUUUAGGGGCAUAAUAUGGGUACCCCUGAUUAUGAUACCCGACAAAUAAAGUGUUGCUUUCUCAUUGCCUCAAUCCAAGUCACUUUUGCAUUCUGACUAGCAAACGCAUUAGUCCAUAAGUUAUAUUGAUCAUCAAACACCAAAAUCAUUUAUUCAAAUAGGUCGGGUCCAUUUUUCUUACAAAUAACAACAGAAUGAGAAGGGGGGAAAGUGCCCUGAAUGGCUCAGAUUUAUCAACUACCGGCGUGAACGUUGCACUUUAUGAUGGAAGCACAAUGUGAUCUCCCUACCCCCUACACCCAAACAAACAAUAAAAUAGCAUUGUACAUUGCUCUUUCAGACAGACAUGCAACUUCAUAUAUGCAAUUUCUGCGACUGACCAUAUAGCUGGUUGCUUGCUAAGGCACAGGCCAUAAGACAGAUGGCUCACUUUACAAUACAAAUGGCAAAGAUGAUAUCAUUAUUAAAUUGUUGAGGUAAUAGUAAUUUAAAGAAUGAGAUAGUUGUACAAAUGCAACGAUUCAGAUGUUCAGUCCAAAUACAGUUAAGGUCCUAAAAAAUCUUGAAGUAAAACAAGGGUACCAGAUUCAUCAUAUUCAUCAUGUGCAUAGAUCAUGCUCUAAUAGAGACAUCUCAAUGUGCAAAUUGGCCUAUCAAUUACAAUGCACAUUUACAUCUAUAGGGAGCACCCAAUGAGAAGGUGUCAAAAUUAAAACCACUUUAAUUAACAUUAGUGGAUGUGUGAUUACUCAACUCAAGAAGACAGUAGAAGGGCCAUAUCGCUCCCAGCAGGCCAGCAUGCGUCGUCGCGCCGCCUCAUGCUAUCGACAACUAAAUCGGGCCAGCGGUCUAGUUGGGGAGGAAAAGGAGGGAGAGGGGGUGGGGUGGCAGCACGAGCGUUCAUUUCAUUAUACCAAGGCCGCUCCCUCACGUCGCUCCGACGGGCUACCCCGGGUCGUCACCUCGGUCAUGGGAAGGGGCGGAGCGCCCGUUAUGACUGUGUAUGGCUCACGCCAUACCUUGUUUUGAUCAUUGCCAUCGUCGUAUACCCGCAGCCAUAGCACCGUCGCACACACAGUCGCGAACUCAUGAUCUCCGAUCGACCACUUCGCCUGCUCCAGUGACCGGCUCCAGCUCUCGUGCUGAUUGUGGCGUGCGAUGCGUGGUUGUGGGACGUGGUCGUGCCCUUGUUGGCUUCUCGUGCCAAUUACGAUGUGCGGGUAGCAGUCAUACACCUGUGCACUUUGGGCGAUGCCCACGUGCCCUUCCUGCCUCUCCAGCACUAGCCACUAGGCACUAGCAAACUGUAGACCGCUAGAUGCCCAAGCCCCAAUCUCACUCAUCCGGCCAGCGUCAAGUCCAACCUAUCCCUCGGUCGAUCGGUAGCAGCCCCUCACUGUGCUGUACCAAGCUAUACCUUUUUUUUGUCCUCCGCCACUGGUCGUGGGUGUCGGGCGCCACAUCGAUGGGCACAGGACCUGAUAUGUACCCUGGAGCACUCGACGGCGAGAAAACCCUAGAGACCGACGGAGAGAUCCAAAACAGCAAGAAGAGGAACUCACGUGAGACUAGAGAUGGCUAAACGGGUCGCCCGGCCCGGGCCCGGUGAAGCCCGGACCGUUUUGGGUUCGGUUAGAAAACCGGGUUGAGCCGUCUACGUCCACGGGCUCGAUUUUCUAUCCGAGCCCAGCCCGUAGUGGGCCUAAACGGGCCAGGCCGGCCCGUUUAGCACGAAAAAACGGGCCGAAAAUCUGGCUGGUAAGCACAUUUUAGUGUAAAAAGCGAGUUUAACGGGUUUAGAGGUAAACGGGCCGUGCCGGGCUAACCCAUCGUGCCUAGUUUCCUGUCCGAACCUGGCCCGCUUAUUUGUGUCAGGCCGAUCCGGACCCGCAUAGAACCGGGCUGUGCCGGGUUCGGACCGGACCCAAACAUCGGACUUCGUGUCGGGCUCACGGCCUUAUACUUAUUGGCCAUCUAUACCUGAAACGCUCGGAAGCCUGGAUUCGUGAGUCCCUUUUAAUACACGGUAAUGCGGGCCAAACAAAAGUAUAAGCCUACGAUAAAAAAAACAUUACAAUUUACAAACAAAAGGGUUUAUGACACGUAAAAUUGAAUUAUGGGUCAGCUUUGUUACGUAAAGGCAAUCCGGUUGUUGUGGCAUGUUAGAAUCUAAUAGCGUGUUUGUUUGAGAAACAAGGUAGUAUAUCAUCUUCUCAUUUCUUAUUUUCUUGUUUGGUUUGUGUAAUAUAAUUAGUUGGUUCGUCACCAUUUUAUUCUUUAUAGAUUAAUAAUUAGUAAUAGUAUAUGAGCGAUGAGUUUACUCCACCAAAAUUAUGAACUGGACUUAUAAUACAAUACUUAUAUAUGUAGAAUGGAUUGAUUAUUCAAACCAAACAUCCCAUAAUAGAUUAGUUUAUCCCUCUUUCUUUCUAUAGAAAAUUGUUUAUACAGUACUAUAUUUUUGUCCAUAUAUUAUUUACCAUCGUAAAUUUCUUCUAUGUCACCCGGAUAUAAUUUAUUAUCCUUCCACGUCAUUGCUAGCAACAUAGAAGGGUAAACAAAAUCAUGUGUCCUAAUUCCUUUUAUACCACUCACGAUGGUAUGAAUUGGAUAAAAAAUUGCAUCCAAAUCAUAUAGAAGCAACUAGAAUAUUUGUGAAAACAAAUAAGAUAAAGUAAAAGUGUUCCUUCUUUAUAUUAUUCUAAAUGGAAUAAGUCUACAUAUCCCUCUAACCUUUAGGGCUGAUUUGGUGUGACAUUGAUUUAAGUGACACUAUUUUUUGUGUUUUUUCAAUUAUGCCUUCUAGUACUAGUGUCUAAAUUUUAUGUAUUUUUACACAAAAAUCAAUAAUUUGAUAAUAAAUUUGCCCUAUUUUUUAUAUAGAUUUAAAAACAGUAGCUUAAUUGCUAAAAAUUUAAAACUACGUAAAAAUAGAUUAAUGUUUUUCCCUGAUUCAUUUUUAUAUGAUGAGCCUAAAAAUUUUAUUAGAGCUAAAUAAUAUUAUUACUAAACUACUAAAUUUUUUAUUGAUUUUAUUAAGCAAGUCAAGUGGUCUAAUUACUAACUAAAUUAAUUUUAUAUUUGUUUUUUAGAAAUACAUAGAGAACAAUUUUUAGACGGACCUUCACCUAGCUACAAAUAUUUUUAGAGUUUUCUGAGAACUAUAAAUCUAAACAUAUAUAAAAUUAUAAGAAAUAUCUAUGUAAAUUAUGCGUCUAGAUUCAAAGUCCUUAGAAAAUUUUGGAAAUAUUUGUGUAUGUUAGUUUAGCUAGGAGAAAGUUCAUGUAAAAAUUGUAUAUCAUUUUAUUAUUGUUUGGUAAGUUUUAUAAAAAGCAAAUGUACAAUUAAUUUAGUUAGUAAUUAGAAAAAAAUAUCACUUAGCUUUCUUAAUAAAAUAAUAAUUAGUAGUUUAGCAAUAAUAUUAUUUAUCUGCAGCAAAAAAAUAGCCUUAGAAGGUAAUAAAUGAAUCAAAGACAAACAAAUACUUAACACUUUUUAUGUAUUUUUUAGUAAUUAAUCUGUUACUUCUAAAAUUUCUGAAAAAAUGGGGCUAAUAUAAUAUCUAAUUGCCGAUCUUUAUGUAAAAUUAUAUAAUUUUUGUGUACCAUAAGAUGAUAGAACUGAAGAAGACAAAACUGUUACCACUUGAAUUAGUGUUACGUUACUAAAACCGAUAACUAAAAUUGUCAGGAGAUUAUUUGACUAUUUUUAUAAAGCUGAGAGGUUAAACAACCGGUUUUAAAGGUAAGAGAGUGAAGCCAUCCUAUGAAGAUUUGGGGUUAGGUAGUAGAAGCUCCACUUGCAUCGCACGUGGAUAAAAUAAUUUCUAUGUAACUUUAUUGAUCACGUAAACUGCAUGCACACGUCUCAAAUUCCGCGUUUUCUCUCUGUCUCUCUCUCUAAUAAAAAGAGGACAUUGAACAUGCUUAGUUAUUACAUUGAGGGGUAAUAGUUCCUUCUUUCCUGAUAUAUCAUAUCAUAUCAUGGUCGAUAGAUAAUUUCUUAUUCUGAUACGACGGCAAUUCAUUACAAGCGGCCGGCCGGCAGGGGCAAACCCUGGUGUGGUGGUGUCUACAGGACGAACUGCUUGCGGUAAAUGUCAAACGUCUCCGAAGAGGACAGGUUAGGCUCCUGCAAAAAGAUCAAACCAAAGCAAACAAGUGAGAGUUUAAUUGGUGAGAGGAGCACAGCAGCUAGCCAAGGAUGUUGUUGUUGACAGAGACAGAGAGAUUCGACAUGGAUACCUGCACGCCGCUGAAGUUGGCGACGGUGCGGAUGGGUGCGCCGAUGGCCCCCUGCAGAUCGCAGCCCCCGCCGCGGUUCUUCAUGAUGGCCCUCAUGGAGCUGAGCAGGUGGCCGUAGGUGACCCCGCGCGGCUGGCACUCCAGCGUCCGGACGAAGCUGUGCGUCAUGGCCCCGACGACCGACGCGUGGGCGUCGGGCAUCUGCACGCCGCGCGUCGUCCAAGCAGCAGCAUAUGCAUGUUAGGUAUAUAGAUAGAUGCAAGGCAGCAGAGCUCGAUCAGCAGUAUGUAUGUAUGUAUCAUGUCCCUGACCAUGGCGAAGUUGCCUUUGCCCUCGCUGUAUCCGCUG